GCCCUCGUAGCUCAAUGGACAGAGCACCAGACUUCGAAUCUGUUGGUUGGGAGUUCGAAUCUCCCCGAGGGCG
rnacentral:tRNA from 2 species